GUUGACCCGUAAUCCGGGUUGCGGACAGUGUCUGGUGGGUAGUUUGACUGGGGCGGUCUCCUCCUAAAGAGUAACGGAGGAGCACGAAGGUUGGCUAAUCCUGGUCGGACAUCAGGAGGUUAGUGCAAUGGCAUAAGCCAGCUUGACUGCGAGCGUGACGGCGCGAGCAGGUGCGAAAGCAGGUCAUAGUGAUCCGGUGGUUCUGAAUGGAAGGGCCAUCGCUCAACGGAUAAAAGGUACUCCGGGGAUAACAGGCUGAUACCGCCCAAGAGUUCAUAUCGACGGCGGUGUUUGGCACCUCGAUGUCGGCUCAUCACAUCCUGGGGCUGAAGUAGGUCCCAAGGGUAUGGCUGUUCGCCAUUUAAAGUGGUACGCGAGCUGGGUUUAGAACGUCGUGAGACAGUUCGGUCCCUAUCUGCCGUGGGCGCUGGAGAACUGAGGGGGGCUGCUCCUAGUACGAGAGGACCGGAGUGGACGCAUCACUGGUGUUCGGGUUGUCAUGCCAAUGGCACUGCCCGGUAGCUAAAUGCGGAAGAGAUAAGUGCUGAAAGCAUCUAAGCACGAAACUUGCCCCGAGAUGAGUUCUCCCUGACUCCUUGAGAGUCCUGAAGGAACGUUGAAGACGACGACGUUGAUAGGCCGGGUGUGUAAGCGCAGCGAUGCGUUGAGCUAACCGGUACUAAUGAACCGUGAGG
rnacentral:rRNA from 1 species